UCCGAGGACCUCCCGUUGGUUUCGCCGUGGUCGUCCGGGCUCUCCUAGGAAUCUCUGUUAAGGGUGAGAUUGGAGAAUCUGGUCCUAAAGGUCCGCGUGGAAAACCGGGUCUGAAAGGAGAAAAGGGGGAGCAUGGAAGUAAUGGUCUACCAGGUUUACCAGGACCAGUGGGAGUGGAUGGACUUUCAGGACUUCCUGGGCAGAAGGGGGAGAAGGGAGAGGAAGGUAUCGGAGUUCAGGGUGUUCAAGGUCCACUUGGGCCAAAAGGAGAAAAGGGUAAUACAGGACUACAAGGCCCAAAGGGAGAAGCAGGAAUCCAAGGAGUCCAGGGAAUCACAGGCCCUCGGGUUUGUCAAAAUAUACACAACUAUUUCAGCAUCAAAGUGUUUAGUCUGUCAGUUCGUGCUGUUAAAUUAUGUCUGUCUUUCACAAAGAAUCAUCAUGAACCAUUUAACAGAUGUCAACUUUAGAUGCAAUUUUGUUUAAUAAAUGUUAAGUGCUUCUUUAUGACAGGGGUGUUUCACUGUUGUUGUGUUUUUGUCUGUGUUUAGGGGAAAAAGGGUCUUAAAGGGGAUCAAGGAGACAAGGUAUGAUUUUACACAAUUUAGUCAGGUACAUGACUUUCUUACUGCUCUGUUUUUACCAAUUUGCUCUUUCUCUAAAUAAAAAUAAAUAAAUAAAAAUCAAUCACAUCAAGUCAGUGCUUUUGUCUAGUGCUGCGGCUGCUCUGUAUUUAAUAACCUGAUCCAUAAUACAUCCUACUUGACUUUGUUCAAAAAUGUUCAAUCAGUUCAGUUCACUAGUAUCAUAGUCAGAACCUCAUUGAAAUCUGGAAUAUUUCUUAAACAUCAAAUGCACUAAACAUCAACAUCAGCUGCUUGUUGUCUGGAGUAUUUGAAU
rnacentral:lncRNA from 1 species